AAAUUAUUUUCAAAAGUUCUCAAAUUGCUUUUGGUGGGGACUGCGAAAUUUGAGUUCUCUUGGUUCAAAUCUUGAGCCUAGCGUGGAUGGAUGGGAGAACCUCUUUGCAGCAUUCAUCUCUAUAAUUGGAUUGCUUUUAUUCUUAUAUCUCAUUGGAAAUUUGCAGACAUACAUGCAGUUGGAUACUCAAAGAAUAGAGGCGCAUAGACACAAUAUGAAAAUGGAACAGAAGAUGGAAGGGAAAGGUCGCGAGAUAGAGUUGUGGUUAUCUGAAAAUGGCAUCCCCAAAGAGAUGCAUAAUAUGAAGUCGAAGAUCAUGAACAAGGUACGACAAGAACUUGAAGAAAACAGGGAUGCCGAUUUGGACCAUAUCAUCACUACUCUUCCCAGUGAAAUUCAGAAGCAUAUUGAAAGUUGUACGCCUAUGGCUAGGUUGAAGCGAGUAAGUUCCUCCAAAACCAUGACUCUAAUAAUUACUAGCUGCCUUUCCAUAAUAAU